rnacentral:tRNA from 1 species
GGAGUAGUAUCGAAGUGGUCAUAACGAGCACGACUGGAAAUCGUGUAGCCGUGUUGAGCGGCUCGAGGGUUCGAAUCCCUCCUACUCCGCCA